rnacentral:rRNA from 1 species
UACGUAGGUGGCAAGCGUUGUCCGGAUUUACUGGGCGUAAAGAGCGCGCAGGCGGUCGAUUUAGUCGCGUGUGAAAGCCCCCGGCUCAACUGGGGAGGGUCACGCGAUACUGAUCGACUGGAAGGCAGGAGAGGGUAGUGGAAUUCCUGGUGUAGCGGUGAAAUGCGUAGAGAUGUGGAGGAAUACCGAUGGCGAAGGCAGCCCCCUGGGAUAACACUGACGCUCAUGCACGAAAGCGUGGGGAGCAAACAGG